rnacentral:ncRNA from 1 species
GUAUUGUAUGAAAGGAGAAAAGGUUAGAGUUUCUCUCAAUAAGGAUAGAAGAGGCCCUUGGGCCUGACAACAAACAUACAUACAGGUAAAGUAUUGCCACCUACGUUGUGGCAUCUAGCAAUGGUUAAAA